rnacentral:lncRNA from 1 species
AUGAAAAUUCCAAAAUAUAUCUUAGAAGUGUUUCUUGUAAAAAGAAAGUCAAUCAAAAAUGCUUCCUUUCUUCUUUUAAAGUAGUUCAUUUGCCCGAACUACGCGGGUUUGAUUCUCACCGGAUGUGAGAUACGUAGGCAACCCUCAUCGGGUCCAACCUCGCAGCCUCGAGAUCUCGAUAUGACUUCCCAAACACCAUAAUGACAAGAAAUUGGACCCUCCAAUUUGACCGUAUAUAGCUCCUCGCGUGCUUCCAAACUAAGGAUAUGCUAGUACAAUUGUCCCACCCGGAUCCGGCAGGGCAAUUUCCAAAUGACUUGGACCUGGAAAAAAUGACUUUUAAUUAAUAUAACUCCAGCAAAUUAUUGUAGUUGAACAGAACGAAUCACUGCAUCCAGAAAUCAACGCGGACGGAAUCUCGAACGCAAACUCGACUCUAACUCGGCUCAGACAGAAUCCAUGGGUUUUUAGAAAAUCAACAUCGAGAUGAAAAAAAAAUGAAGAACAUAUAUCUUUUUUUGUUUUGUUUUAGUUUUCCGAUUUUUCAAAGAUUCUAAGAACCAUGGACCUCUUUUAAUUUCUGUCCCAUUUUUGUUUUGGUACGUGACUGCGUGUGUGCGUGUUCCGGCGAGUUGAGUUGAGUACGAUGAAGAAGAAAAAAUCUGCUGGUUACGAGAUGAAGAAACAGGAACAGAUGGGAGCUCUGUUCUUCGCUUGUUUUGACUCCAUGAAGAAGAAGAAGCUU